GUGUGUGUGUGUGUGUCUGUGAGUAUGUGUCAGUGUGUGUCUGUGAGUGUGUGUCAGUGAGUGUGUGUGUGUCUGUGAGUAUGUGUCAGUGUGUGUCUGUGAGUGUGUGUCAGUGAGUGUGUGUGUGUCAGUGUGUGUGUGUGUCUGUGAGUGUGUCAGUGUGUGUCUGUGAGCGUGUGUCUGUGAGUGUGUGUCAGUGAGUGUGUCAGUGUGUGUCUGUGAGUGUGUGUGUGUGUGGUGUGUCAGUGUGUGUCUGUGAGUGUGUGUGUGUGUGUGUGUGUGUGUGUGUGUGUGUGUGAGUGUGUGUCUGUGAGUGUGUGUCAGUGAGUGUGUGUGUGUCAGUGUGUGUGUCAAUGGGUGUCUGUGAGUGUGUGAGUAUGUGUCUGUGAGUCUGUGAGUGUGUGUCAGUGUGUGUCUGUGAGUGUGUGUCAGUGUGUGUCUGUGAGUGUGUCAGUGUGUGUCUGUGAGUGUGUGUCAGUGUGUGUGUCAGUGAGUGUGUGAGUGUGUGUCAGUGUGUGUGUCAAUGGGUGUGUGUGAGUAUGUGUCUGUGAGUCUGUGAGUGUGUGUCAGUGUGUGUCUGUGAGUGUGUGAGUAUGUGUCUGUGAGUGUGUGUGUCAGUGAGUGUGUGAGUAUGUGUCAGUGUGUGUGUGUCAGUUAGUGUGUGUGUGUGUGUCUGUGAGUGUGUGAGUAUGUGUGUGUUUCUGUGAGUGUGAGUGUGUGUG